GCCGUCCGCCAGCCGCCAGGCCAUUUCCAGCGCUAAAAGGAGGUCUGCUAGGCUUGCGAGGCGUAGGAUCCGGAGCGACAGAGGAGCGGCCGGUGUGCGUCGCUCGACUGGAUCCAUCGCAGGUGCGGGAUCGAGGAAGUCGAUGCGUGCGCUGGGAUCAGCCGGAGGAGCGGGAUUCAGGUCCAGCCGAUGCAGUCCAGUACGUGAGCGAGGGUUGGACUGUUGGACCGGCUAGUAGCGCUACCACAACCUCGCCCCAUGCUCCGUCGUGGCGCCGCCGCCAUAGUAGUCUACGACAUCACUAGCACGGACUCUUACAUCCAAGCAACGAAGAGGUGGGUUGACGAGCUUUAAAGACUAGGGAACCCAGGUUUGGUGAUGGUGUUAGUGGGCAACAAGGUUGAUUUAGAAAACAAGAGGUAGGUUGGCACACAGGAGGCGCUGGAGAUGUCAGCGAAGAUGGCGACCUAGCCCAGGCGAUACAGCGUACGGCUCUGCGGGAUUGGAAUGAUUCAGGCCUCCGGACCGCACGCCAAUUCACGUUCAUGCCAAUCUCGUCUCGUUGUUCGUCUGUUCGUGAGCGAAACUGUUCCGCCAGGAAUUGAAG